rnacentral:misc_RNA from 1 species
CUUGAGGGCUCCGCUUAG